rnacentral:lncRNA from 1 species
GAUCCUUUCCCCCACACACCAAGCUCAUUUUAUGAUUUGAGAAAAGAUUGGAUUUGUUGUUGAAGUUGUUGAAGUUGUUAGUUGUUGUUGAUGUUGUUAGUUGUGUUGUGGAAGUUAUUGUUGGUUGUGGGACACGAUUUGGUUGUGUUCUUGAGCUGAAAGCUAUUGUAUAUUGAGGGAUUUUAUGAUCCUUAGUGUUGGUUGGUUCAUACCCCCACACACCAACUCGUUUUUAAUUCCAAGAAAAGAUCUAUUUUUGGUUGUUGAAGUUGUUGGUUGUGUUGUUGAAGUUCUUGCUGAUUUGGGACAGA